rnacentral:rRNA from 1 species
CCUACGGGAGGCAGCAGUGAGGAAUUUUGCGCAAUGGGGGCAACCCUGACGCAGCAACGCCGUGUGAGUGAAGAAGGCCUUCGGGUUGUAAAGCUCUGUCAAGUGGGAAAAAAUGCUUUUAGUGAAUAGCUAAGGGAGUUGAUGGUACCACUAGAGGAAGCACCGGCUAACUCCGUGCCAGCAGCCGCGGUAAU